rnacentral:lncRNA from 1 species
GGUCAAUACCAGAACCACGUGGAGCCCGAAGGUCCCUACGCCGACCCCGAGGGGCAGUAUGGAUCCCAUACGGACCGGGAGCCGUACCAGGCUCACCUAGAGCGUGACAGGCCCUAUGGGGGACGUAUGGAGCGGGACGGGCAGUACGGAGAACAUAUGGACCGAGACGGGCAAUAUGGGGCACAUCUGGACCGGGACGGGCAGUAUGGGGCGCAUAUGGACCGGGAGAGGCCCUAUAUGGACCGCGAGGCCCCAUACGAAGCGCUGGCGGAGAGGGAAGGAGCGUAUGGAGGCCGUCGGAAGGAGAGGGAGAGGGGAUAUCCGGGACGUAUGGACGGGCAGUACCAGCCCCAUAUGGACCGGGACGGGCAGUACCAGCCCCAUAUGGACCGCGAGGCUCAGUUCCAGUCCCAUAUAGAGAGGGAGGCGCAGUAUCAGCCCCAUAUGGACCGUGACGGGCAGUACCAACCCCGUAUGGAGCGCGAGGGGCCCUAUCAGCCCCAUAUGGACCGGGACGCGCCCUAUCAGCCCCAUAUGGACCGGGACGGGCAGUAUCAGCCCCAUAUGGACCGCGAGGCGCCCUAUCAGCCCCAUAUGGACCGGGACGCGCCGUUCCACGGCUGCUUGGAGCGGGAUCUCCAGUUCCAGCCCCAUAUGGACCGCGAUGGGCACUAUCAGCCCCACAUGGACCGGGACGCACCGUAUCAGCCCCACUUGGACCGCGAGGCGCCCUAUCAGCCCCACAUGGACCGGGACGGUCCGUACGCGGCCCACACGGAGCGGGAGGCGCCGUUUCGAGGCCGGGAGGGGCCCUUCGGAUCUCGGCCGGAUCGGAACCGCUGCGGUGCCGCCCCCCGGGAUUGGGAUCGGGACUGGGGGGCUCUGAGCCGCAGCUCCAGCCCUGGGGGGGGCGGGCACAGCACCAGCGCCAGCACCAGCCCCGCCACCACCCUGCAGCGCAAGUCGGACCGGGACAGCUCGAGGACGGUGAGGUCAGUGCCCCCCACAUUGUCCCCGUGUCCUCCCCUCCGUGUGUCGCGAUAG